UGAGCUUGAUUCCUGGCUCAGGACGAACGCUGGCGGCGUGCCUAAUACAUGCAAGUCGAGCGGAUCAAAGGGAGCUUGCUCCCUGAGAUUAGCGGCGGACGGGUGAGUAACACGUGGGCAACCUACCUAUAAGAUUGGGAUAACUCCGGGAAACCGGGGCUAAUACCGGGUAAUCCGUUUCUCCUCAUGGAGGAACGGUAAAAGAUGGCUUCGGCUAUCACUUAUAGAUGGGCCCGCGGCGCAUUAGCUAGUUGGUAAGGUAAUGGCUUACCAAGGCGACGAUGCGUAGCCGACCUGAGAGGGUGAUCGGCCACACUGGGACUGAGACACGGCCCAGACUCCUACGGGAGGCAGCAGUAGGGAAUCUUCCGCAAUGGACGAAAGUCUGACGGAGCAACGCCGCGUGAGUGAUGAAGGUUUUCGGAUCGUAAAGCUCUGUUGUUAGGGAAGAACAAGUGCCGUUUGAAUAAGGCGGCACCUGACGGUACCUAACCAGAAGCCG
rnacentral:rRNA from 1 species